CACUGGUAAUUUACAUGUGCUUUAGAAAGAAUCACCCCACAGAUACUGCAUGUUUACCAGUAUAUUUAGUACACUGCAUAUCGCUGACUGAGAAAAUGCAGUUCUGUCAGAAUCAAUGGAAAAAUCAACCUACAUGUGUUUUUUUUUUAAUAUAUAUAUAGCUGCCUCCUGGGCACCAAAUGAUUUCAACAGGGAUGGAACAUCGAGGAGAAAUAAGUCAUUUCAAAGAAAAGCUGAUGGGAAACAUGUCCAGGACCAGUGCAUGAGACGUGAGACGACUCAGCUAAUACAAGAGCUCUCUCUCCAAGACACCCAGUAAAAUGAAGAAUCAGAUCAGGACAAGAAACUGGAGGAGCAGCCCCAGCAUGAGGAAGUCGGAGUACAAACGGAAAAGCCCACACAGUCACAGAGAGAACAUGGACAGAAAGAACCAGACGACCAGCAGAAACAAAGAAACAGUUCGAGAAGCCUCAGGACGAUCAACAACAGAAUAAACAUGUCAGAAAACAGGAAGAAGAUGACCAACAGCAUCAAACAGAGAAGAAGAAGAAGAGGCUCCAGAUUACUCCAUACAGU